rnacentral:rRNA from 1 species
AGUCACUGACAUUAGAUACCCCGGUAGUCCAGGGUGUAAACGCUGCAGACUUGGUGUUGGAAGCCCUUUGAGGGUAUUCAGUGCCGGAGAGAAGUUGUUAAGUCUGCUACUUGGGGAGUACGUCCGCAAGGAUGAAACUUAAAGGAAUUGGCGGGGGAGCACCGCAACGGGAGGAGCGUGCGGUUUAAUUGGAUUCAACACCGUAAACUCACCAGGGAAGACUGUUACAUGAAGGCCGAGAUGAAGACUCUGCUAGAUUUUCAG